CCUACGGGGCGCUGCAGUGAGGAAUAUUGGUCAAUGGGCGAGAGCCUGAACCAGCCAAGUCGCGUGAGGGAAGACGGUCCUACGGAUUGUAAACCUCUUUUGUCAGGGAGCAAGGAGCGCCACGAGUGGUGCGGUGAGAGUACCUGAAGAAAAAGCAUCGGCUAACUCCGUGCCAGCAGCCGCGGUAAUACGGAGGAUGCGAGCGUUAUCCGGAUUUAUUGGGUUUAAGGGGUGCGCAGGCGGAAGCGGCAAGUCCGCGGGAAAAUUGCGGGGCUCAACCCCGCGGAGCCGUUAAAACUGCUCUUCUAGAGUGGGCGAGAAGUAAACGGAAUGCGUGGUGUAGCGGUGAAAUGCAUAGAUA
rnacentral:rRNA from 1 species